AGCGUAGAGGCGGCAGGGUAGCCUAGUGGUUAGAGCGUAGAGGUGGCAGGGCAGCCUAGUGGUUAGAGCGUAGAGGCGGCAGGGUAGCCUAGUGGUUAGAGCGUAGAGGUGGCAGGGUAGCCUAGUGGUUAGAGCGUAGAGGUGGCAGGGUAGCCUAGUGGUUAGAGCGUAGAGGUGGCAGGGUAGCCUAGUGGUUAGAGCGUAGAGGUGGCAGGGUAGCCUAGUGGUUAGAGCGUAGAGGUGGCAGGGUAGCCUAGUGGUUAGAGCGUAGAGGUGGCAGGGUAGCCUAGUGGUUAGAGCGUAGAGGUGGCAGGGUAGCCUAGUGGUUAGAGCGUAGAGGUGGCAGGGCAUC